rnacentral:rRNA from 1 species
AUUGAACGCUGGCGGCAGGCCUAACACAUGCAAGUCGAGCGGGAACUUCGGUUCUAGCGGCGGACGGGUGAGUAAUGCGUAGGAAGCUACCCGACAGAGGGGGAUACCAGUUGGAAACGACUGUUAAUACCGCAUAAUGUCUACGGACCGAAGUGUGGGACCUUCGGGCCACAUGCUAUCGGAUGCGCCUACGUGGGAUUAGCUAGUUGGUGAGGUAAUGGCUCACCAAGGCGACGAUCCCUAGCUGGUUUGAGAGGAUGAUCAGCCACACUGGAACUGAGACACGGUCCAGACUCCUACGGGAGGCAGCAGUGGGGAAUAUUGGACAAUGGGGGGAACCCUGAUCCAGCCAUGCCGCGUGUGUGAAGAAGGCCUUUUGGUUGUAAAGCACUUUAAGCGAGGAGGAGGCUACCUUAGUUAAUACCUGAGGAUAGUGGACGUUACUCGCAGAAUAAGCACCGGCUAACUCUGUGCCAGCAGCCGCCGUAAGAC